rnacentral:lncRNA from 1 species
CUUUAUUAUCUAGCCCUAUAUCCAUACGCCUCUGUAGAUAUAUUGUGUUUCAUAUCCAUAAGUUGGUAACUUAUUAAUUAAAUCACUUGUAUUUUUCAUGAAUUCUGUUCAAGUUGAUUUUACCUCGACUUAAUGUUCAGUAUUAAUAUAUGUAUAUUACUAAUUGGUUUAUUUUUUUAUUCCAUUAUUAAUCUUUUUUUUAUUAGUUAUUUUGUGACUCUUGCUGUCAGAAGCUUUGUUAGCAUUGGUCAAUUAUUUUAACACUAAGUAGAAUACUAUUGAUUUUCAAUGACUUUUUCAGAUAUUUCACAAUUUUUGUUCCCUUAAACUUGUAUACUAUAAAAAAAGAAACUAAAAAGUGUCAAGGUAACCUUGACAUUUUGAUCAAUGUUUGGGAGAAGAGCAGCUUAUCUCUUAUGACGAUUUAUUAGAUUAUCUGCUUCACCACCUAUGACAUAAAGGGAAUAGACAGAAAUCCCGCACCGUAUCUAGCAGGAACACAGCCAGGAAUUAAUUCGGUGUCGAUCUUCAAUUUUACUCAUGAGUCCAUUAGGGACUUAGCCUUAUACUUAUCAGUCAUUCAUGAGUACACUCUCGCUGUUACACUUGAUACGUAUAUGUUCUCUCCUUAAUAAUUAAAUAAUUCGGAUAAAAUGUUUAGAAUAUAACAUAAAUGAUACUAAUCUACUCUAUCGAAAGCCAAGAAAUCAAGAUUCACCCAUCAAUUUGGAUGAUCUGCCAUUAUUGUCAUUUCGAACCCAAAUCAAGAUCACACAUUGAAAUUGCUUCUACUUGUCAUUCAAGAAUUCCAAAAGUAAUUAUUAACUUAAGACGAGACGAAAAAAAUAUAAUCUUCAAGAAGUUACAUGAAUAAUACAACCACAUUCGGAAUAAGAAUGACUAAUUGAAGAACAAAAAUUGAAAAGGGAAUAAAAACGACAUAGCCUUAUAUCUCAAAUUGACAUUCAAUACUUUUAAUGGAAUAGCCAUAGCUCAUGGAUAGCACCCUUGGGAGUUUCUUGAACUUGAUGUAUGUACGUUUUCGCCCCAGUGAUUCCUAGAGAAAGAAAUACACUUAGUGUAUUUGAAUUUCACCAAAAAGAUUCCUAGGUUAGAUGGAGUAAAUGUAAUACUAUAAUCAGUGCAACUCCAUCUAACCAAUUAAAGGAACAUUUAAAAAAAAUAAUUCUUUAAUUGGUAUUCGAAAUCACUCUUCAAGAUAUCGGCGAAAGUUUCCCUUGAAUUUUAUUACUUGCCCAAGUUCUAACACUUCCGUUGUAUAUUUGUCAAAUAUAAUAUGAUCUAUGUACUUCAGGGAGAGGUUAAUAAUUUAUUUCAAGUUUUCUAUCUGAAGAAUCUCACCCAACAGAUCAAACAAUGUACAAGUUAUAAUUUAUUCUCAAUCAUACAUAUAUACAAAGUAAAUAACAACUUAUCAGAAAGAAUUACUCCGAUUUCGAUCCUCAGCAAUGUAUUUUUAUCAUGCAUUUAUCUUUGACAUUAAGUAUUAUUCAUCUGUAGUGUUUUUCGAUCGAUCCCCAUGAAAGUAUUUUGAAGUGAAAAAGUAAUUUUUUAUCUGUAAUGAAUUUACUGACUACUUUUGUUUUUUAAAUGAUCUUAGAUUCAAGUAAUUUUAUUCCUAUUUUAGACGUUCUUUCUCAAGUUUCUAUUUCUCCUGAUAAUCCACAGAUGAAGCAAUAUCAUUUUCUAAAUCAUAUUAUUUUUUUUCAAAUUCAGUUUUGGUACUUUAAGCAUCAAAUAUAUUUUUAUCUCUAUCGUGCAACGUGUUUUCUUGUUCAUCCAAGUUUUAUAUCCUUCAGCUGAAGUACCGGCAACUUUACAUCCAAUUUUUUCUCAAGUCUUUUGAUUUCCUUCACGAAACAGCAUCAUUCUUUUUCAAAUAAUAAAUUUUUUGAAUGAUAAAAAGUAACUUAGUAUUAUAACUUGUUUUUAAUGAUCUUAACAAUUUUAAAAAUAAUAUUAUAAUGAUUAUUACAUCGCUACAUGAUUCUAAUUUGACAAUUGCUAAGGUAUGAGAUCAUUUUUCAUAGAUUAAGACUGGAAGAAGUGUACUUCUAUGUUCUCCAAGAGUUAAUGCCAAAUGAAGAUAGAGGGUAUCGAAUAGGACAACAGGAUAAAAAUGCACCCAAGGGAAACUAUUCGGCUUCAUAAUAGAAAAGAGUUGACUCCUUCUUUGUGAAGGAGAUUCCAAGUUCGAAACAGACAAGAGAUCCAUUCACGAGGAAUAGGGAAUUUAAAUACUUGGAAUAUAAUUAUUUUAUUUUUUACGAAGUGCAGUAUUCUAUUAUCACAUCAAUUACUCUCAUUUAUUACGGGAUAUAAAGUCAUUAUCGUUACAUUUAAAUAAUAAACAUAAUUAAGAUAAUGUUGUCUAUUUGCUAGUAAAUCCCAUAUAUCAUAGGAUCACUCAAAAAA